rnacentral:rRNA from 1 species
UGGGGAAUUUUGGACAAUGGGCGAAAGCCUGAUCCAGCCAUGCCGCGUGCAGGAUGAAGGCCUUCGGGUUGUAAACUGCUUUUGUACGGAACGAAAAGCCUCUUUCUAAUAAAGAGAGGUCAUGACGGUACCGUAAGAAUAAGCACCGGCUAACUACGUGCCAGCAGCCGCGGUAAUACGUAGGGUGCAAGCGUUAAUCGGAAUUACUGGGCGUAAAGCGUGCGCAGGCGGUUUCGUAAGACAGAGGUGAAAUCCCCGGGCUCAACCUGGGAACUGCCUUUGUGACUGCAAGGCUGGAGUGCGGCAGAGGGGGAUGGAAUUCCGCGUGUAGCAGUGAAAUGCGUAGAUAUGCGGAGGAACACCGAUGGCGAAGGCAAUCCCCUGGGCCUCACUGACGCUCAUGCACGAAAGCGUGGGGAGCAAACAGGGUUAGAUACCCUGGUAGUCACGCCCUAAACGAUGUCAACUGGUUGUUGGGGUCUUCACUGACUCAGUAACGAAGCUAACGCGUGAAGUUGACCGCCUGGGGAGUACGCCGCAAGGUUGAAACUCAAAUGAAUUGACGGGGUCAUAGCUGUUUCC